UCGAAUACUUCAGUUCAAUUAUCGCAGUUAAUGUGAUCUCUGUGAAGAAGUGAAUAUAUUUAAGUGUCUUAUCAAAGUAGAAAAGUAGAAAAGCAUUAAUGCUAAAUUGGAUAAAAAACGAUUUCAAUUUUGUUAUUAACGAUAACGACAAUAAUGAUAACGAUGACAGAAGCAUUCAUUGCAAAAUUUGGAAUAAAAAUGUGAAGUGUGAAAGGAAAUCGCAUUUAAAGUAACACAUAAAUACCGACACACAUAAGAAGAAAAUCGAAGAAACUGGUAAUUCAUGUGAAACAGAGGAACGUAUGAAUAGUAUAAUACAUCUAAAAAGUAUUCCUAGUGAUUGCGGUAAAAAGAUUAGAAAAAAAUGUAAAAGAAGGAUUUCCUACAUUAUCGAAAAUGUCUAAUAUUUUAAAUAACGAGGGCAUUCAAGGACCAAUAAGUGUGCCAGAACAAUGUUGUUCUAAAUUUAAAUACGAUACCGAUUACUUCGUGUGACGUAGAGCGAUCGUUCUCCGUGUAUAAAUUAAUUUUGACAGACAAACGCCACCAACUGACACCAUUAAACUUGGAAAAAAUGCUCAUAAUUUAUUGUCACGCGAAUUACAAUAUACCAGAAUAAUUGUGAAAAGUAUUUUAUAUAUGUGUACAUAGCGAAUAUUCUGUAACAUACUAAUAUAUUACUUAUUAUACUACAUUUUAUACAUUUUUCGUGCAUAUUUUGCAUAUGCAUGUUACAUAUUUAUCGUGCAUAAACUUCCGCAGUCUACUAAUUACUUUUAAAUGCAUGUUAUACAGUACUCAGUAAGUAUUACUAACCCAGGGCUCUGUAGAUACCUAGGACUACAAGUAAAAAAAUACAAUGCUUUUAAUAACAAUCGAUGCUUCUGUCUAAUCUGUGCACGUCGAAGUCAGUGGUAAUAUCGUGAUUUCCUGAGAAACGUAAGGUCUCGCGGGUGCCAUCAUUCGAACAGCCGUUUGCUAUAUAUCGUUCAAACCUCCCUGCUGUUUGUAGCAGAGGGGGGUGGAAGCUAGGUGUAACUGUAGACCAGUUACAACAGAACGUCUCAGGGGUACCACUUGCGUCAAAUUGAAAUUGGACUUUGCAGCGGAUUAACUCUUUGCGCCAACAGAGUCGCAACUUCGCCUUGUCGACCCGUCAAUCCAAGCGCGUCCUAUUCUCCCCGCCGCGCCUGCUCGCGCCACGCUCUUUGUCCUCUCGCACUUCCAACAACCUCACGUGGCCUCUCGAGGGGUGAGACGGCUGGCAGACAGCUUGGGGAGCCUUUGGCUACGUUGACGGGACUUUCGCAAGACGUCGGCGUCGUGCCUGGGAUAAAAGAUGGCGACCAGACGUUCAGUUUUUCUUUUCACAAUUGUGCGAGCAGCUGCUCCAUUCUUCGAGUUUUCCUGUUCCUCGUUAAACUUCCUGAUGAGGAUGAUUACGUCAGGCUGAACUAGGUUUCGUUGGGAUCUACUUAACGUUAAAUCACAUGUAAACAUGUGUUUGUAGCUAGCCUUAGAGUAACCUGGCUAGAUCUGAUCGAACAUUAUUAAUUAAAUAAGGAAUUGUGUGAAGUAUGAUUAAAGAACAACUUAAAGCUACAGGUGCAUGUUGGACAUCAGCACAAUGCAUGAUUUAGACAGUCGGAUUGAAUAAAGUAGCAAGAGGAACUACAAAAUGGAAAUAUACUCAAAUAACACAUGAAAUGAGAAUGGAUAGUCGAAUAUUCGCUUUCGUUAUUUCCAAACUGCAUAACAUUUUAAAUAGUCGGAUGUCAAUGCUUUACAACCGUAAAGUGGCGAUAUAAUGUUGGUGUGCCAGAGAGUACAACGUCAAGCUUUGUCACCACGUUGGUGAGACGUUCUUUGCAUGCAAAGAGUUCAUACAGAUUUAAGGAGUCUUUCUGGUGUGACACUUUUAGAAAAUCAAUUUUUUAUACAAAAAUAUAUUUAAGAAUACGCUGUUAAAGUUUGGACAGGUUAUUCAAAUUAUUUUGUCUUUUACAGGUGAUAUAAAGUGGUAGAUAUCACAGUGAAAUCAAGCAUAUGUAAAAGUACUUCUUAACGGAACGUUUUAUUUUUUCUUUAUUGAUUCUGUCACUACGAGGCCUUGUAUUCUCAGAGCAACACUUCCUCUUAAAUUUUGACAUUGUUCUUAAAUUUUGUAAAUUGAUGCUAACAUGUUUUGCUACCUACGGCAUUAGGAUAAAUUAAUAGCAUUUAUGCCAUUAGUAACAUUGUUAGGCUUUUGAAACUCAUACAGCAUGAAAUGUCUAAUAUGAAACUUAUUCUUAGUUUGUUCUUCUAUUCUUAACCCUUUCCCUGUGGCACAUUAAUCCGCUGAGGCGCUUUUACUGACGGGAUACCGUGCCAGAAAGUGUACGCCUUGUGUUCAAACAGUAUUGAGAUAAGGUGACAUUGUAGAGGUAUUGUGGACUUGGAAUAUAAAAGAAGUUUGGAUAGAGUAAUAAUUUCUUAAUGAUACUCAAAACUGUAAGUCCAGAGUAAAUAUACA